CAUACUGUAAGGUCCCUCAUCUCUGUACCCCACACAUACUGUAAGGUCCCUCAUCUCUGUACCUCACACAUACUGUAAGGUCCCUCAUCUCUGUACCCCACACAUACUGUAAGGUCCCUCAUCUCUGUACCCCACACAUACUGUAAGGUCCCUCAUCUCUGUACCCCACACAUACUGUAAGGUCCCUCAUCUCUGUACCUCACACAUACUGUAAGGUCCCUCAUCUCUGUACCCCACACAUACUGUAAGGUCCCUCAUCUCUGUACCCCACACAUACUGUAAGGUACCUCAUCUCUGUACCUCACACAUACUGUAAGGUCCCUCAUCUCUGUACCCCACACAUACUGUAAGGUCCCUCAUCUCUGUACCCCACACAUACUGUAAGGUCCCUCAUCUCUGUACUCCACACAUACUGUAAGGUCCCUCAUCUCUGUACCCCACACAUACUGUAAGGUCCCUCAUCUCUGUACCUCACACAUACUGUAAGGUCCCUCAUCUCUGUACCCCACACAUACUGUAAGGUCCCUCAUCUCUGUACCCCACACAUACUGUAAGGUCCCUCAUCUCUGUACCCCACACAUACUGUAAGGUCCCUCAUCUCUGUACCCCACACAUACAUUUAUCUGUAAGGUCCCUCAUCUCUGUACCUCACACAUACUGUAAGGUCCCUCAUCUCUGUACCCCACACAUACUGUAAGGUCCCUCAUCUCUGUACCUCACACAUACUGUAAGGUCCCUCAUCUCUGUACCCCACACAUACUGUAAGGUCCCUCAUCUCUGUAACCCACACAUACUGUAAGGUCCCUCAUCUCUGUACCUCACACAUAAAUUUAUCUUUAAGGUCCCUCAUCUCUGUAACCCACACAUACUGUAAGGUCCCUCAUCUCUGUACCUCACACAUACUGUAAGGUCCCUCAUCUCUGUACCCCACACAUACUGUAAGGUCCCUCAUCUCUGUACCCCACACAUAAAUGUAUCUUUAAGGUCCCUCAUCUCUGUAACCCACACAUACUGUAAGGUCCCUCAUCUCUGUACCUCACACAUACUGUAAGGUCCCUCAUCUCUGUACCCCACACAUAAAUGUAUCUUUAAGGUCCCUCAUCUCUGUAACCCACACAUACUGUAAGGUCCCUCAUCUCUGUACCUCACACAUACUGUAAGGUCCCUCAUCUCUGUACCCCACACAUAAAUGUAUCUUUAAGGUCCCUCAUCUCUGUAACCCACACAUACUGUAAGGUCCCUCAUCUCUGUAACCCACACAUACUGUAAGGUCCCUCAUCUCUGUACCCCACACAUACUGUAAGGUCCCUCAUCUCUGUACCCCACACAUACUGUAAGGUCCCUCAUCUCUGUACCUCACACAUACUGUAAGGUCCCUCAUCUCUGUACCCCACACAUACUGUAAGGUCCCUCAUCUCUGUACCCCACACAUACUGUAAGGUCCCUCCUCUCUGUACCCCACACAUACUGUAAGGUCCCUCAUCUCUGUACCCCACACAUACUGUAAGGUCCCUCAUCUCUGUACCUCACACAUACUGUAAGGUCCCUCAUCUCUGUACCCCACACAUACUGUAAGGUCCCUCAUCUCUGUACCCCACACAUACUGUAAGGUCCCUCAUCUCUGUACCCCACACAUAAAUGUAUCUUUAAGGUCCCUCAUCUCUGUAACCCACACAUACUGUAAGGUCCCUCAUCUCUGUACCCCACACAUACUGUAAGGUCCCUCAUCUCUGUACCCCACACAUACUGUAAGGUCCCUCAUCUCUGUACCCCACACAUACUGUAAGGUCCCUCAUCUCUGUACCCCACACAUACAUUUAUCUUUAAGGUCCCUCAUCUCUGUACCCCACACAUACUGUAAGGUCCCUCAUCUCUGUACCCCACACAUACAUUUAUCUGUAAGGUCCCUCCUCUCUGUAACCCACACAUACUGUAAGGUCCCUCAUCUCUGUACCCCACACAUACUGUAAGGUCCCUCAUCUCUGUACCCCACACAUACUGUAAGGUCCCUCAUCUCUGUACCCCACACAUACUGUAAGGUCCCUCAUCUCUGUACCCCACACAUACUGUAAGGUCCCUCAUCUCUGUAACCCACACAUACUGUAAGGUCCCUCAUCUCUGUACCCCACACAUACUGUAAGGUCCCUCAUCUAUGUACCCCACACAUACUGUAAGGUCCCUCAUAUCUGUACCCCACACAUACUGUAAGGUCCCUCAUCUCUGUACCCCACACAUACAUUUAUCUGUAAGGUCCCUCCUCUCUGUACCCCACACAUACUGUAAUGUCCCUCAUCUCUGUACCCCACACAUACAUUUAUCUGUAAGGUCCCUCCUCUCUGUACCCCACACAUACUGUAAGGUCCCUCAUCUCUGUACCCCACACAUACUGUAAGGUCCCUCAUCUCUGUACCCCACACAUACUGUAAGGUCCCUCAUCUCUGUACCCCACACAUACUGUAAGGUCCCUCAUCUCUGUACCCCACACAUACUGUAAGGUCCCUCAUCUCUGUACCCCACACAUACAUUUAUCUGUAAGGUCCCUCCUCUCUGUAACCCACACAUACUGUAAGGUCCCUCAUCUCUGUACCCCACACAUACAUUUAUCUGUAAGGUCCCUCAUCUCUGUACCCCACACAUACAUUUAUCUGUAAGGUCCCUCAUCUCUGUACCCCACACAUACAUUUAUCUGUAAGGUCCCUCAUCUCUGUACCCCACACAUACAUUUAUCUGUAAGGUCCCUCCUCUCUGUACCCCACACAUACUGUAAGGUCCCUCAUCUCUGUACCCCACACAUACUGUAAGGUCCCUCAUCUCUGUACCCCACACAUACUGUAAGGUCCCUCAUCUCUGUUCCCCACACAUACUGUAAGUUCCCUCAUCUCUGUACCCAACACAUACUGUAAGGUCCCUCAUAUCUGUACCCCACACAUACUGUAAGGUCCCUCAUCUCUGUACCCCACACAUACUGUAAGGUCCCUCAUCUCUGUACCCCACACAUACUGUAAGGUCCCUCAUAUCUGUACCCCACACAUACUGUAAGGUCCCUCAUCUCUGUACCCCACACAUACAUUUAUCUGUAAGGUCCCUCCUCUCUGUACCCCACACAUACUGUAAGGUCCCUCGUCUCUGUACCCCACACAUACUGUAAGGUCCCUCAUCUCUGUACCCCACACAUAC